rnacentral:sRNA from 1 species
AAGAUAAAGACAGCGUAGUGUGUGGUGGGGUUGGUGUGAGUAAUAAUAAAACCCGUCUCCCUCUGUUAAGCAUCAACGUUCCAAAACUCUUAUUCCUAUCAUGUUCUCCCUACAGACAUCAAUAUAUAUAUUUACAUGUGGUUAACCUAACCUAACCCAACAACCUGCGUUUCAUAUUGCAGAGAGAGAGAAAGGGAAAGGGAGAAGAGGUUGAGGAAGUGAUCGGAGAUGGGUGGGUUGGUAAAGCAUAAGAGAAUCAAUAUUUCUCACUGUUUUUGCCGAUUCCACCCAUUCCUAUGAUUUCCUCUGCUUUCUCUCUUUCCACUCUCCUCUUACCUUCUCUUACAUAUCUAUGUUCGUUAUCAAUGAGGCGGGGUGAAGUUGUUGUGCAUUCUCUCCUUCAUCUGUCAUUGCUAGUGUUGUAGUGCGUCACUAGUGCUUAGGGUUGGAAAGGUGUGUGGUGUUGUGGAUGACGCUCCUUUUGCGCGUUGAAGCUUUCGUUAUGUGGUUGGUCGCGCUCCUUCAUUGUGCUCAAGCUAUCUUGUUGCUCGUGGUGUUUUGGGUUUUGUUGCCGUGGCAAGUAAGUUUUGAUCAAUACUUGUUUUACUAUUGAGACAUACAUUCAGAAAAUCAUAUCUACUAUUGACUCAUGAAAUUUGAUAAUUUCAACAUUUUAUAACGAACAUUUAAGUAUUAUUAAUAUAAGUUAACUCAAAUUGUUCGUAGAUUUUCUAACUCGACUCUAAUGAAACAAAAUGUUUUAAACCAAGUUUGAGAAUUGGUAUAAAAAGUAUACAUUCUAUAUUGAUUGAAGUUUUAAUCGACAUAGAAAACGUCCUUUUUAUAUCGAUAAAACCUUAACCAGG